rnacentral:rRNA from 1 species
AUUGAACGCUGGCGGCAUGCUUUACACAUGCAAGUCGAACGGUAGCAGGUUAAGCUGACGAGUGGCGAACGGGUGAGUAAUGCAUCGGAACGUGCCCGGUCGUGGGGGAUAACGCAGCGAAAGCUGCGCUAAUACCGCAUACGAUCUAAGGAUGAAAGCGGGGGACCGUAAGGCCUCGCGCGAUCGGAGCGGCCGAUGUCAGAUUAGGUAGUUGGUGGGGUAAAGGCUCACCAAGCCAACGAUCUGUAGCUGGUCUGAGAGGACGACCAGCCACACUGGGACUGAGACACGGCCCAGACUCCUACGGGAGGCAGCAGUGGGGAAUUUUGGACAAUGGGCGCAAGCCUGAUCCAGCAAUGCCGCGUGCAGGAAGAAGGCCUUCGGGUUGUAAACUGCUUUUGUACGGAGCGAAAAGGCUCCCUCUAAUACAGGGGGCUCAUGACGGUACCGUAAGAAUAAGCACCGGCUAACUUCGUGCCAGCAGCCGCCGUAA